GGCAGGCAAGCCGAGGUCGGAGGACGGAGGAAUCCCAUGCGAGGGAGGCAGCCACCGCGAUUCGAUACGGCGAGGCAGCAACGACGAAGUAGCAGCCUAUCUCUCUCUCCUUGUAAAUAGCUAGCUAUUCCACACGCAUCUUGCAAAGAAACCCCACCUUUUUAUUCCUUCCCUGAUCCCUCUCCCAAACCCUCGCCCCUCUCCAUGUUUCCGAAUUCGAUCUCCUCCCCGCCGGCCGUCUCGAUUUGAUCGCUCGCCCCGCUCGUCUCCCUCUCCCCAUGUUGCCUUCCUCGCUGGCGGCGGCCGUCGCGAAGAUCUGCUUCAACUUCCAAUGCAAGGAGCCGUUGCCCGACCUGUCGCCCGCCAGGAGGAAGAGCUGGCGCCUACUCUCCGGCGAGAUCGCCGAGCUCUGCGACCGAUGCUCGUACGCCCUUUUCGCUUCGGGCUUUCCACGCCGGAGUGAUUCUCGGACUGGAUCUCCGAUGCUUGGUCGUCUUUGAUUUGCUUUGGGUUCCUGGAUUUUUUGAGGGUCUUACUAAGUUGCACUUUCGAACAGGGAAAUUUCUGUGAAACGUACCACUCCGAGGAUGGGGGUUGGAGGAACUGCGAAGGUGCGGCAAGAACAUACUAUCUGAUUUAGCUGGAUUUUUUUCCCCCCAGCGAGUGCACUGUGGAUGUAUCGUCUCGGUCACUGCUUAUGUGCUUCUUGAUGCUGGUGGCGUUGACUGUGUUGCAUGUGCUACGAAGCCUUCUGCCAUGGCCUACUUCGGUACUUCCCUGCAAUUUCUCAGCCUGAAGGGCUUCCACUGAAAGUUAAGGAUGCAAAUGGCAAGGACUGGGUGUUUCAAUUUCGUUUUUGGCCAAAUAAUAACAGUAGAAUGUAUGUUUGGGAGGGAGUUACACCUUGCAUUCAGGCAAUGCAAUUGCAUCUGGUGAUACAGUGACAUUUAGUCGUAUGGAUCCAAAAGGGACAUUGAUUAUGGGUUUCAGGAAGGCUUCCGGUGCCUCUAAUGAACAGGACUCGCAAACACUUAAAUCUGGCAAUGAUUUUUCAUCACCUCCAGAGGCCGACUGCAAAAUCACUGCUAAACAUCUCAAAGGCAGUAUGGAAACAAGGAACUUGGCCAGUACAGUAGGAGCUGCUCUAAGUUUGCAAAUGAAGGCCUGCUACAAAAAGAUGGGCUUAGUGCUAAGUCAUCACAGGGCACUAGUAGAAGAAAAGGUGGCAAUCUUGGGUCUAAGAAUAAACGUCUAAGAAUUGACAAUGAAGACUCCAUGGAAUUGAAACUGACAUGGGAAGAGGCUCAACAGUUGCUCUGUCCAUCUCCUAACUGUGUUCCUGAUAUUGUUUUGGUUGAAGGUCAUGAGUUUGAAGAGUACGAGGGAAUGUAACAUACCAAUGUGUUUUUUUGGCUGAUGUGGCUGAUCAUGACAGGAAGCACCAGUAUUUGGAAAGUGUACAUACUUUGCUGCUAACCAAAUCAGUAAGAACUCUCAAUGGGCUCAAUGUGAAGAUUGCUCAAAAUGGCGUCGACUGCCUGUGGAUGCACUCCUUCCAUUUAGAUGGACCUGUUCUAACAAUACAUGGGAUCCUGAAAGGUCUUCAUGCUCAGCUGCUCAGGAGUUGAGUUUGGAGCAGCUGGCAGAAUUAAUCCCAUCUAAAACAGUUGAUGGGUAUCAAGCAUCUACACAUUCCGAAACCAUACCAUUCUGGUCAAGAAUGAAACGACGACAUAGAAUAAUAUUUUAAACUUUGGCCUAAACCAACAACAAAGCAUCCAAGGCAUAGGCCUGGGUGCACAUGUAUUGUUUGUAUACAGCCCCCAAGCGGCAAGGGCCCUAAGCACAAGCAAACUUGCACAUGCAAUGUAUGCCUCACCGUCAAGCGAAGGUUCAGGACACUCAUGCUAAGGCGUGAAAAGCGCAAGUCAGAGAAGGAUGCUGAAACCUCAGUGAAGCACCAGAAAAAACAACCCAACCUAUUGCUAGAGAAAACACAAGUAGGAAAUAAACCAUCAAAAACAAGCACUCUAGUUGUGAAUAAUUCCCCAACCAAACCAAUCUCAAAGGAGGGAAUUAGUGAUGUAGCACUCGAGAGCAAAAGACUAUCUCCUCAGAUUGAUUUGAAUAUUCAACCAGAGCGGAGGAAGAGCCAUCGCCAAAAUUUGAGAAUGGCAGCAUGAUGAGCCUUCUCGCAAAUACAACAACCUAAACACCUCCAGAUGGGUCAAAGUGUGUGAGAUGAUGAUUCUUAUGGGGAACCCAGCCAUUUUUGCAAACCUAAAUGUAGAUACACUCCUAUUCUAUACCCUCCAGGAUGAGCCAGGAAGUUGUAUUCCAGUCCGGGAACAAAGCUCCAGCAUUCAUCCCGAGUUGUAUUUAUAAUUGUUGGAAUAAAAUCCCCCCAUUGCUUAGUUUUUUGAGCUACAUUUGAUGAUAUGUUCUUUUUUGCAUUCAUAAUUAUUAUUGUAACCAUUUGCAAGAAAAGAUCUUUGCUGUUGUAAA